rnacentral:rRNA from 1 species
UGGGGAAUAUUGCACAAUGGGCGAAAGCCUGAUGCAGCAACGCCGCGUGAGUGAUGAAGGCCUUCGGGUUGUAAAGCUCUGUCUUCUGGGACGAUAAUGACGGUACCAGAGGAGGAAGCCACGGCUAACUACGUGCCAGCAGCCGCGGUAAUACGUAGGUGGCAAGCGUUGGCCGGAUUUACUGGGCGUAAAGGAUGCGUAGGCGGAUACUUAAGUCAGAUGUGAAAAUCCCGGGCUUAACUUGGGAACUGCAUUUGAAACUGGGUAUCUAGAGUGCGGGAGAGGAAAGUGGAAUUCCUAGUGUAGCGGUGAAAUGCGUAGAGAUUAGGAAGAACACCAGUGGCGAAGGCGACUUUCUGGACCGUAACUGACGCUGAGGCAUGAA